AAAUAAUCAAUCGGAGGCCCUCUAAUAGCCCUGAACGAUUGAACCUAGAGCUCAACAUCUAUCAAUCUCACUCUCUGCCGGAGUCACUCCGCGUGACCUGUCCGGCCUUCUGCACAUAAGUCGGAACCACCUAAUGUAGUCUGAACGACUCAUGGUAAUAUUCGCUCUAGUGCUUCUCUCAUCAAUCAUCUGUAUAUAAUAACCUAAGGUCACCCACCAGUCAUAAUCUCACUAACACUCUACGACUGGCCCGUCGUACCCACUCCGCGUGGACUGUACGACCAGCAUCUACUUGGAUCCAAGGCGAGCGUGCGAUGCGGUGAAUACUAUAAGCACUAAACCAUGGUGCAGGAUAUGAGCUCAAUAUAUCAUCAUCAUCAUCAUAAUAUUAAUUAAAUACUUACCUGUGCUUCCACAACACCAUCAUACAUAUAUGCAUCAUACGACAGUUCAUAAUAUCCAUAAUAUUCUAUGCAUGGCAAUCACAUCAUAUUUCAUUUCAAUAUACUUUUCAUUUAAAUUUGAUUUCUGGGGAAAUCGAGUAUAUAGGUAUAUAUAUAGAAAGCAAUGCCCACUCACUGGUAUGUCGCCGGGUCGUAACCCCCUUGACGCCCCUGGAUGUGCUCGUCCUCGUUAAAAGUUCCACCUAGAAGUGAAAUAACUUAAAACAAUCAUUUAACGCACAUUUAACGCACCUAAACCAAACUAGGUAAUUAAUUCUUCAUACGAUGCUCAAAUUGGGUAUAUGAAUAUACCACAGUGACCUACACAACCUCAGGAUCACUCCCAAAUUUUUAAAAUAAUUUUUGUAGGUCUCACGCGCCCCCACGCGCCUGACGUGGCACGGACCUACGCGCGGCCCAUGCGCGGCCACGUGACAUGCACACUGACGGCUACAGUGAACGGCGUUAGAGAAUAUUCCGUCAAAUCCUAGUAUAUUCCGUUAAAAACUAACGGUUUCCGUUAAAGUUAACUAACGGCGUCGGAAUAUUCCGUCAAACUUGACGGAAGAUUCCCUGUCUUCUCCGGCGAGUCGCCGGUUUCUGGAAAAAUUUCAAAUCCACUAUUCUCCUUCGUUUUUCAACCAAUUUCUUCGAAUUUUAUACCAAAAUGAAGCAUUUAACAUGUACUAUCACGUUGGAAGGGUUUUAGGGCCUAAAAACAACUAGAUCAUACCUUCCAAAAUUCCUCAAAUUCGGCCAAACUCGAACCCAACGAUCCCGACGUCCAUUUUGUUCAAACGAGGCACUCCGAGCCUCCUUAGGACUUCCUAAGACUCGUGGUGAUCUUGCUUUAGCCUAAAACACAACGAAAUUUAAGUUCAUGAACAGUAGCAAUUUCGGAGCUUAAGUUUUCUACAUGGAAUCGUGGGAAAUCUUACCUGAAAAUAAUAUCAAUGUGUUCGUAUGGUCCUUACGAACACGAUGCUACCUUCCUCAACCUUAACUUGUGAAGUUUUCAAGGUCUUGGGUGUUUGUCCGAGAGUUUGAGAGAGAAUGAGAGUAAGAGAGAGGGAAUGAGUGUUUCUGAAAUGAAGAAAGAGAAAGAGAGUGACUAGGGAGAUGAGAGAGACAACAAAAACGGGUUUUGGGGAGGGAUUUAGGGGGUAGGACCCCACCCUAAGUCCAAACACAAAUUAAAAUUAACACAUACUAAUAUAAUUCUAACCCUAGUUUAGGAUCUUAGUGUAAAACAAAAUACCAAAUUUACGCACCUUAAUCCCGUUUAAGGGCGUUUCUGUAAUUUCACGUCCUCGGUAUUUAGUAAUUCUGGGACGGGCUGUGACAAUCUCCCCUCCUUAUAGAAUUUCGUCCCCGAAAUUCCAAUCACUAACCAGAACAUCAAAAGUCAUAGAAUAACCUCGGAUACAUAUCUCUCAUUCGUUCUUCUGUUUCCCAUGUAGCUUCUUCAGCUGAAUGGUUUCUCCACAAUACUUUUACCAAGCUCACGGUCUUAUUCCUCAAAGUCUUAUCUUUCCAAUCCAGUAUAGUCACUGGUUUCUCAUCAUACGUCAAAUCCGGAUUAAUUUCCAAUGGUUGAGGAGGAAUCACAUGUGAAGGAUCUGACACAUAAUGCCGAAGCAUCGAGACAUGGAACACAUUAUGUACCUUAGACAACUCUGGAGGUAGCUCCAACCUGUAAGCAACUUCACCAAUCCUCUCAGUGAUCUCAUAAGGUCCAAUGUACCUGGGACUUAGCUUUCCUUUCUUUCCAAAGCGAACCACCCUCUCCAAGGCGAUAAUUUUCAGAAAAACAUAGUCGCCCACAUUAUACAUUCUGUCCGUGGUAUGUCGAUCCGCUAGGCUCUUUUGUCUAUCCUGGGCCACUUUCAGGUUAGAUUUAAUUACCUGAAUAUUCUGAGUAGUCUCAUCCACAAUCUCUGGCCCUUCAAGUAUUCUUUCACCAACCUCUGACCAACAUAAUGGCGUACGACAAGCUUUACCAUAAAGUGCUUCAAAUGGAGACAUUCCAAUACUCGAAUGAAAACUAUUAUUGUAGGCAAACUCCAUCAAAUCCAAGCGAUCAUGCCAAGAAUCACCAAAUUGCAUCACAGAGGAUCUCAACAUAUCCUCGAGUGUCUGAAUAGUUCUCUCUGACUGACCAUCUGUCUGUGGAUGAUAAGCUGUACUGUAAAGCAAUCUAGUACCCAAAGCUUCUUGAAAAGCUAUCCAAAACUUAGAAGUAAAUCUUGGAUCUCGAUCAGAAAUAAUAUUCACUGGGACACCAUGAUACUUUACAAUCUUCGAUAGGAAUAACUGAGCCAACUUAUUUAAAGAGUAUUUCUCCCUUACUGGAAUAAAAUGUGCUGAUUUGGUAAGUCGAUCUACAACCACCCAAAUGCCAUCAAAACCAUUUUGUGUACGUGGCAGCUUAUACACAAAAUCCAUCGUUAUAUUCUCCCAUUUCCACUGGGGAACGGGAAGUGGUUGCAAUCUCCCAAACGGCUUCUUUCUUUCAGCCUUAACCUGCUGGCAGACAAUACACCUAAUCACAUACUCCGCAAUCUCCCUCUUCAUACCCGGCCAAUAAUAGAAUGGUCGAAUGGUAUGAUACAUUUUAGUUCCUCCUGGGUGCAUAGCAUAAGCCGAACAAUGUGCUUCAUCCAAGAUUUCUUUCUUCAGUUCCUCAUUAUUAGGCACAUACAUCCUGUUCUCUUGCAUAAGCAUACCAUCUGAUCCUCGGAUCUUGAGAUCUUUCUUCUUCCCUUCAUUUCUUAAAUUGAUCAAUUCUUGAAUUUCUUCAUCCAACGAUUGAGCUGCAAGCACCCGAUCAAUUAAAAUUGGCUUGACUUGAAAAUUGGCAAGAAAAGCUUCAUUUUGCUCUUCCAAUUCUAACUCUACUCCAGUAGAUCUCAACUCUGCCAGAAGAGGAACACGACUGGCAUACAAAGCAUUAAGUCGCCCUUGAGGUUUUCUACUCAGAGCAUCAGCUACCACAUUUGCACGACCCGGAUGGUACUCAAUCGUGCAAUCAUAAUCACUUAACAAUUCCAACCAUCUUCUCUGACGAAGAUUAAGAUCAUGCUGAGUGAAAAGGUACUGAAGGCUUUUAUGAUCGGUAAAGAUCUUACAUUUCUCGCCAUAGAGAUAAUGUCUCCAAAUCUUCAAAGCAAACACAAUAGCUGCCAACUCAAGAUCGUGAGUCAGAUAGUUUCUUUCAUGAGUCUUCAACUGCCUAGAAGCAUAGGCAAUCACUCUACUAUGCUGCAUCAAAACACAAUCCAAACCAUUCAAAGAAGCAUCACUGUAGAUCUCGAAGUUACCAUCAUCAUCAGGAAGUACUAACACAGGUGCAUGAGUAAGGCAAUACUUCAACUGCUGGAAACUUUGCUCACAACUUUCAUCCCAUUCAAACUUAACAUCCUUCCUGGUUAACUUCGUUAAUGGCAAGGCAAUCAUAGAAAAGUCUUGAACAAACCGUCUAUAAUAACCUGCCAAACCAAGAAAACUCCGCACCUCAGUGACCGUUCGAGGUUGUUCCCAAUUUUCCACUGCUGCUAUCUUUUGAGGAUCCACUUGAAUUCCCUGAGCUGAUACCACAUGUCCCAAAAAUGCCACUUGAUCCAGCCAAAAUUGACAUUUACUAAAUUUGGCAUAUAACCGGUGUUCCCUCAAUUUCCUUAACACCAAGUUAAGAUGUCGAAUAUGGUCUGAUUCCGACUUAGAAUAUACCAGGAUGUCAUCAAUAAAAACAAUAACAAACUUGUCAAGAUAUUCCUGGAAUACUUCAUUCAUCAAUCUCAUGAAAGCUGCAGGAGCGUUCGUUAAUCCAAAUGGCAUCACCAAAAACUCAUAAUGCCCAUAACGAGUCCUGAAAGCUGUUUUAUGAACAUCCUCAUCUUUAAUCUUUAAUUGAUAAUACCCAGACCUCAAAUCGAUCUUAGAAAACACACAGGCACCUUUGAGCUGAUCAAACAAAUCAUCUAUACGAGGUAAGGGAUAACGGUUUUUAAUCGUCACCCGAUUCAAUUGCCUGUAAUCAAUGCACAAUCUCAAAGUUCCAUCUUUCUUUCUUACAAACAACACUGGAGCUCCCCAAGGUGAAGAACUAGGCUGAAUGAAACCUUUAUCAAUUAACUCUUGCAAUUGAAUUUUCAACUCUCUUAAUUCCGCUGGUGCCAUUCUAUAAGGAGUCAAAGAGAUAGGGUUCGUACCUGGAAGCAAAUCAAUCGAAAAAUUCCACAUCUCUAUCUGGAGGCAACCCAGGUAAAUCAUCUGGAAAUACAUCAGGAUAGUGUCUGACUACUCCGACUUCCUCCACACUACCGGAAUCAACAUCAUUUAACACCACAUGUGCCAAGUAUCCCUGACAACCCUUGGAUAACAACUUCUUUGCCCUUAUGGCUGAAAUAACACCAUGCCUCACCCCACUUCUUUCACCCACAAAUGUAACCUCGGGUAGUCCAGGACGAAGAAAAGUAACUGAUUUCCCGUAACAAUCUAUAUGGGCGCGAUUAUAAUGCAACCAAUCCGCCCCUAAAAUCACAUCAAAAUCCACGAUGUCUAACGGGAUAAGAUUAACAGGCAUAAUGACAUUAUCUACCAUCACUGGACACCCAGAGUAAAAACUAUCAACAUAACAUUUAUCCCCUCUAGGCAUAGCAAACUCUAAAUCAAACCCUAGAGGUGAAGGAUGAGGUUGCGUUAUUUGAGCAAAUGUAUGAGAAAUCACAGAGUGUGUAGCACCACAAUCAAUCAAGACUCUAGCAAAAUGACCAAGAACAUUCAACGUACCCAUAAUCAAGUCUGGAUGGUUCUGAGCAUCUUGCAGCGAGAUGUGGUUCACACGUCCCUGAGCUGGCUGUCAUCCUCCACGACCUCUGCCACUCUGGUUACCUCGUCCCUGAUGAGUACGUCCUUGACCUGCCUGGGCAGGCGGCCUAAACGACCCUGUACUACUAGCAGCAACUCCGCUCUGUUGGGGCUGACCCCCCUGAUACCACUGAGAUCCGCUAGCUGGCAUAGACGGAUAUGAAGUAUAACCUCCUUGAUCCUGAGAAUAUCCACUCUGAAAAUAAGGAUCCUGGGAAUAGUGAUACUGUCCCGGAGCAUAAGGAGCAGCAUCACCCUGAUAGUGAUAAGCACCACCACGACCACCCUGGCCAUAACUGCCUGAAUUAAAGUUCUGUUGAGUCGGUGCUGAUGUUGGCAUAACAGGCUGCUGGGGCCUCUGCUGAUUCUGGGGACAAUACAUAGCUCUAUGUCCUGUCUGACCACAUGUAAAGCAUGCACCACUGCUUCUCCUACAUUCCCCAUGAUGUCGGAAAUUACAACGGCGACAUAACGGAGAACCCGAAUUACCAGCACCACUAAAGCCUCUCUGACCAGAAAAUCUAGGUCCAUUACCAAACCUACCACCUCCUCUCCUCGGACCUGUGGCACUAAAUCCACCACUGGAAGAACUCGAACUCAUUCCACUUUUCUUGAAAUUCUGCAUUUGACGAGGUCCUGGAAUGGAAACACCUUUACCUUUCUCAUUUUUCUUCUGACCAUUACCCUUAUCCUCUUCAUCCUCACUGUCCGGAAGAUUAUCAGAGUCUUCCAUCCGGACCAGAAUCUCAAAAUACUCAUGAUAAUCGGCACAGGGAAGUGCAUUGGCAAACGUUCUGUACUUCUUCUUAGAUCCUAGCUUGAAACGAUGAAGCAUUUCUGCUUGAUUACCCGCUAAAUCAGAAUCAUAACGGGAUAAAUCAGUAAACUUCCUGUAGUACUCAUGUGCAGACAUAUUUCUGCUUCAGACUGGUGAAUUCCUGUUUCUUGCGAUCUAUAUAUUCCGGAGGAACAAAUCUCUUCAUAAAAUUUUCCUUAAAUACCUCCCAUUCGGCUGCCCUUUCAGGUGCCAUGUGCCUCGACUGAUUUAUCCACCACGCAGCUGGCUCACGGCCCAAAAACCAGGUGGUAGUCUCCACCCAUCUAUUAGCUGGCAGGUUUCCCUGACUUUGCAUCACUUGAAAGGUCUGCUCAAUUCGAUCCAACCACUUUUCUGCCCCUUCAUAACCUUCAUUUCCCUCAAAAGUUUCCAAUUUCAUAUUAUACAUCGUCUCUACGGGCGUUCUCUGAGGAGGACGGAUAUUAGCCUGAAAAGCUUGAGCCAUUGCUGCCCCUAACUGAGUUAUAUCGGGGAAAUUAGGCUCAGCAGCACGGCGAGGAUCUCUACGAGGCGGCAUAAUUCUGACAGAAAACAUAACAAAAUCAAUAGAAGAACUCAUUAGUUAUAUAGGACUGCAACCUAUGCUCUGAUACCAAACUGACACACCCUAACCCGAAGACUAGGACGUGCUGGCCGUCACGUGAGUGUGACGUAACCAUAACGCAAGCGGAAACGAUUUAAUAACAAAAUACGAGUCAACGAAAACCACUAAUUUCAGUUAUUUACAACCUAGCAUUCUAUGUGCAUAAGAGUGUACUAAACACACAUAAACAGAGCAUAAGCAUCUAGGUGCAGUCAAGUAGGAACAUAACUAAUUUACAACACCCUCGGGUGAAUCCUACAUUUAUUUAGUCUGUCAGAACGCCGAAGCAGUCCUCGUAGGCCACCAACGCCUCAACUAUCAACUAGAACCUGGAGGGGCGAAAAACAGAAAACGUGAGUGGGCGAAAAUAAGCUUUUCCAAAUCAUUUCAUAAAUCCACAUUUAUAACCCCUUUUUGGAAAACCUGUAUACUUUCCCAGAAAAAUAGUAUAUAUAGCAUAUAUAUAUCUCAACUGUCUCAAUCAUCAAUCUUAUAACAGAUUCAAUAAAGAAUGUACCAUGCCAAUUUCAACAGUUUAGUAUGAAUGCAUUAACAUAAUAUAAUCAGGUAAAAGAAAUAAUCAAUCGGAGGCCCUCUAAUAGCCCUGAACGAUUGAACCUAGAGCUCAACAUCUAUCAAUCUCACUCUCUGCCGGAGUCACUCCGCGUGACCUGUCCGGCCUUCUGCACAUAAGUCGGAACCACCUAAUGUAGUCUGAACGACUCAUGGUAAUAUUCGCUCUAGUGCUUCUCUCAUCAAUCAUCUGUAUACAAUAACCUAAGGUCACCCACCAGUCAUAAUCUCACUAACACUCUACGACUGGCCCGUCGUACCCACUCCGCGUGGACUGUACGACCAGCAUCUACUUGGAUCCAAGGCGAGCGUGCGAUGCGGUGAAUACUAUAAGCACUAAACCAUGGUGCAGGAUAUGAGCUCAAUAUAUCAUCAUCAUCAUCAUAAUAUUAAUUAAAUACUUACCUGUGCUUCCACAGCACCAUCAUACAUAUAUGCAUCAUACGACAGUUCAUAAUAUCCAUAAUAUUCUAUGCAUGGCAAUCACAUCAUAUUUCAUUUCAAUAUACUUUUCAUUUAAAUUUGAUUUCUGGGGAAAUCGAGUAUAUAGGUAUAUAUAUAGAAAGC
rnacentral:lncRNA from 1 species